rnacentral:rRNA from 1 species
GGACCCGCACAAGCGGUGGAGCAUGUGGUUUAAUUCGAUGCAACGCGAAAAACCUUACCUACACUUGACAUACUUCGAAUUUUCUAGAGAUAGAUUAGUGCCUUCGGGAGCGAAGAUACAGGUGCUGCAUGGCUGUCGUCAGCUCGUGUCGUGAGAUGUUGGGUUAAGUCCUAUAACGAGCGCAACCCUUACCCUUAUUUGCCAGCGGUUAGGCCGGGGAACUAUAAGGGAACUGCCGUAAUAGCGAGAGGUGGGACGACGUCAAGUCAUCAUGGCCCUUACGUGUAGGGCUACACACGUGCUACAAUGGGAGAUACAGACGGUUGCUAAAGCGCGAGCUGGAG